rnacentral:rRNA from 1 species
GACGAACGCUGGCUGCGUGCUUAACACAUGCAAGUCGAACGCUGAAGCCCGAAGCUUGCUUCGGGUGGAUGAGUGGCGAACGGGUGAGUAACACGUGAGUAACCUGCCCCUGAUUUCGGGAUAAGCCUGGGAAACUGGGUCUAAUACCGGAUACGACCACCUGACGCAUGUCGGGUGGUGGAAAGUUUUUCGAUCGGGGAUGGGCUCGCGGCCUAUCAGCUUGUUGGUGGGGUAAUGGCCUACCAAGGCGACGACGGGUAGCCGGCCUGAGAGGGCGACCGGCCACACUGGGACUGAGACACGGCCCAGACUCCUACGGGAGGCAGCAGUGGGGAAUAUUGCACAAUGGGGGAAACCCUGAUGCAGCGACGCAGCGUGCGGGAUGACGGCCUUCGGGUUGUAAACCGCUUUCAGCAGGGAAGAAGCGAAAGCGACGGUACCUGCAGAAGAAGUACCGGCUAACUACGUGCCAGCAGCCGCCGUAA